rnacentral:rRNA from 1 species
AUGGUGCUCGCCGCCAUUCCCAAUCCAAGGCUUCGCCAUCGGACGCCCCAACUUAUAGGCCCCCGCCCAGGCCGCCACCGGCGCCGCUCCGGUACGGAAAACUCUCCUAUAUUUGCACCUCAUGCUCUACUGUUCGAUGAAAUGUCCGAGCCGAGCAUUACUUCAAGGGCUCCAUCAUGGGUUGGCGCACGGCUUCUUUACACAACCUACUUCACAGCGGUCCCAACAUUUCAUGAAACUUUCUUUCAUCGUUGCUACCGGAUGAGCAGAAACUUGUUCGUGCGGGUAGUGGAAAGGCGUGGAGAAGGUUGA